GAUGAACGCUAGCUACAGGCUUAACACAUGCAAGUCGCGGGGCAGCAUGGGGGUUGCUUGCAAUUCCUGAUGGCGACCGGCGCACGGGUGAGUAACGCGUAUCCAACCUGCCCUUCACCACGGGAUAACCCGGCGAAAGUCGGACUAAUACCGUAUGUUGUCCAUUGACGGCAUCCGAUUUGGACGAAAGGCUUAGCGGUGAGGGAUGGGGAUGCGUCCGAUUAGCCAGACGGCGGGGUAACGGCCCACCGUGGCUACGAUCGGUAGGGGUUCUGAGAGGAAGGUCCCCCACACUGGAACUGAGACACGGUCCAGACUCCUACGGGAGGCAGCAGUGAGGAAUAUUGGUCAAUGGGCGGAAGCCUGAACCAGCCAAGUAGCGUGCAGGAUGACGGCCCUAUGGGUUGUAAACUGCUUUUAUGCGGGGAUAAAUGAGCCCACGUGUGGGUUUUUGCAGGACCGCAUGAAUAAGACCG
rnacentral:rRNA from 1 species